GUUGGAGAGGAUGAGGAGAAAGGGGAACCCUCCUGCACUGUUGGUGGGAAUGGGAACUGGGGCAGCCACUCUGGAAAACUGUGUGGAGGUUCCUCAAAGAGUUAAAAGUGGAAUUUCUUUUUAAAUCGAUUUCCACACAGACAUGGAUCUGGUGUUCUCUUCGAAGCUGGUGCUGGAACUCUGCUGGUUUUCUCCACAUCCCCAACACGCAGCCGCUGCCCGGACCGGGGAGCUGCUUAAGGCCUGGUGGAAAACCUUUGGAGGCCGAUUCAAACUGGCACUUCUGCUGAGUGCUGGUGGCUCUGUGACACAGUUAUGAGAAGAAUGAACCUGAGGCCCCCGGAGCUCAGCGGCGAGCACCUGCCUCGGCUCAGGGCAUGACCCCAGGGUCCCCGGAUCAGAGUCUCGCAUCAGGCUCCCCUGCUUCUCCCUCUGCCAGUGUCUCUGCCUCUCUGUGUGUGUCUUUCAUGAAUAAAUAACUAAAAUCUUAAAAAAAAGAAUGAACGUGACAUUGACUGACCUGGGUCUAGAGCUUAGUUCUUUGUUUAGUACGUAAGUGAACUCAGGCAGAAAUUCCCAGUGCCUCAGUUUCCCCAUCUGUGAAACACGAGUGUCUUCAUACACUGUGUCUGCGUAGAGGUGCCCGUGUCUUUAAAGUACUAGCUCGGAUCCUCUCGCAGUCAGGGUUGUCUUUACUCCUUCAGUGCGUUCCUCUGUCUGGUUACAGGUGUGCAGGCAGAGUGGCUGGUGAAAAGCUCCCCCCACCCCCGCGUGUCCGAAUCCAGGCCUUUGCACCAAGCCUGUGAGUUGGGUAGAGUGCCCCAAGCCUCUGAGCUUUGUUUUCCAGUCUGUGAUGGAAGCAAAGUGCAACCUGUGUUGGAAGAGUCAUCAGUGACGCUGGGGAAGUGCUUAGCAGGGAGCCUCGUAGGGGCUGCAUCAUUCUCAUAUUUAGUUGAGAAUCUGCAAAACUACCAAGGAGGAAGAGGAAAUGCGCGGCUGACUCUUAGAAGGUGGUGGUUUUCCCUCCUCAGUCGCCUGGGCUGGGUUUCCCUCAGUUCCAGGUCAGCUAGAGGCGCCACCUUCCCCAAGGGAGAGAGAGAACCGAGAGACCCCCGUGAACUCCCAAGGCGACCCGGCGAGUGGGGAAGCCAGAGCCCAGCAGGUGGGUCUUCUGACCGCGUGGAUGCUCCGUCCACACCUGGUGACUCGGUGCCCUCCGAGUCCCCACACCUCUCCGCGGCGCCUUCCCGAGUAGAACUGCAUCUCUUACGCCCCCCGCCCCAAGUUCAGGUGCCCCACGCCUUCUGGGCUGUGACAGGCACCGCUCAGCGCCCUGUGAUGGUCCUUCCCGUGCUCACGCACAGCACCCAAGGUGCUGGCCGCCCAGACCUUAUUCCCUUUGCUGGGAGGAAACUGAAUUACUGAUGUGGGCUCGGGGGCCUGCGUUCCAGAAGGACCCAGACACCCAGGGUCUUUGUGUCUCCCUGGCCCAGCAGAGAAAAGCUAAAUUGCAUUUGAAAGCCCUACAAGGGGGACGUUAAUUGAGGCAUAAAAGCGUGUGUCUUUGACCUUCCCAGGACCUGUGGUUCUCCCCUUAUCUGGGGCCUGUUCCUGCUGACACGGGUCGGGUCGCAGCCUCCUGCUUUGCACCGUCACCGAGGCUCCGGCUCCGGCUCCGGGUCUCCCUGCUCCACAGUGGGCCUGUGCGCUCAGCUCGCCAGUGUUUCUGUGAGCAUUUCUGAGCCUCCUUCCUGGGACUUCCCAGCCCCGGAAUAAUUUCUCAUAUCUGUCCCAAGUCCCAGUCUCAACGACAGGACUCGCUGACUUCACGGUGGGAUUUGGGGAUUUUGUAGGAAGCCGUGUCCACUCACUCACUCACUCACUCAUUUGUUCACUUUUAAUUUCUCAGUCCCUCACUCAUCCGUGCACUUCUCCAGCCUUUCACUUACGUUUUGGUCCCAUUUCCAGGCAUUUGUUGAUUGAGCCAAAGAGGACUGACUACGUGUGACAUAAGUUGGAUCGAGUCACUGUGGAAGCGUAAGGACUCCUGCAUGCACGGAGCUGUUUGAGUUAGUGAAAAUGGCUGGAGGGAGCUCGUGCAGUGGCCUAAAAUCCCUGUAACGUUGCAUUUUCCAGAAAAGUGUUCAUCCAGGGUUGUUUGAAGGUCUAGGGCUAUAUUUAGUGAGCAAGUCAGCUCAGUUAAAAAUUAGUUUUGGGAGUGAAAGAAAGACCUGAGUUCAGACGUCAGCUUUGCCACUUACCAGUGAUAGGACUCUGGGCUAGGUACUUAAACUGCUCUGAGCCUCACUGUCUUCAUUUUUAUUUUAUUAUUUUAUUUUAUUUUAUUAUUUUAUUUUAUUUUAUUUUAUUUAUUUAUUUUAAUUCUUUUAAUUAAUUUAGCUGUCUUUAUUUUUAUUAUUUUUUUCAUUUUCAGUGAAUUUACUUAUUUAUUUUUUUAUUGUUCAAUUUGCCAACAUAUAGCAUAACACCCAGUGCUCAUCCCAUCAAGUGCCCCCCUCAGUGCCUGUUACCCAGUCACCCCCACUCCCCGCCCUCCUCCCCUUCCACCACCCCUUCCUUGUUUGUUUCCCAGAGUUAGGAGUCUCUUAUGUUCUGUGUCCCUCUCUGAUAUUUCCCACUCAUUUUCUCUCCUUUCCCCUUUAUUCCCUUUCACUAUUUUUUAUAUUCCCCAAAUGAAUGAGACCAUAUAAUGUUUGUCCUUCUCCUAUUGACUUACCUCACUCAGCAUAAUACCCUCCAGUUCCAUUCACGUUGAAGCAAAUGGUGGGUAUUUGUCGUUUCUAAUGGCUGAGGAAUAUUCCAUUGUAUCCAUAAACCACAGCUUCUCUAUCCAUCAUUUCUUGAUGGACACCGAGGCCCCUUCCACAGUUUGGCUAUUGUGGCCAUUGCUGCUAGAAACAUCGGGGUGCAGGUGUCCCAGCGUUUCACUGCAUCUGUAUCUUUGGGGUAAAUCCCCAACAGUGCAAUUGGUGGGUCCUAGGGCAGGUCUAUUUUUGACUCUUUGAGGAACCUCCACACAGUUUUCCAGAGUGGCUGCACCAGGUCACAUUCCCACCAACAGUGUAAGAGGGUUCCCCUUUCUCCACAUCCUCUCCAACAUUUGUGGUUUCCUGCCUUGUUAAUUUUCCCCAUUCUCACUGGUGUGAGGUGGGAUCUCAUCGUGGUUUUGAUUUGUAUUUCCCUGAUGGCAAGUGAUGCAGAACAUGUUCUCAUGUGCAUGUUGGCCAUGUCUGUGUCUUCCUCGGUGAGAUUUCUGUUCAUGUCUUUUGCCCAUUUCAUGAUGGAUUGUUUGUUUCUUUGCUGUUGAGUUUAAGAAGUUCUUUAUAGAUCUUGGAAACUAGCCCUUUAUCUGAUACGUCAUUUGCAAAUAUCUCCUCCCAUCCUGUAGGUUGUCUUGUAGUUUUGCUGACUGUAUCCUUUGCUGUGCAGCAGCUUCUUAUCUUGAUGAAGUCCCAAUAGUUCAUUUUUGCUUUUGUUUCUUUUGCCUUCGUGGAUGUAUCUUGCCAGAAGUUACUGUGGCCGAGUUCCAAAAGGGUGUUGCCUGUGUUCUCCUCUAGGAUUUUGAUGGAAUCUUGUCUCACAUUUAGAUCUUUCAUACAUUUUGAGUUUAUCUUUGUGUAUGGUGCAAGGGAGUGGUCUAGUUUCAUUCUUCUGCAUGUGGAUGUCCAAUUUUCCCAGCACCAUUUAUUGAAGAGACUGUCUUUAUUUUUAAAAGAGAGGUCCUAAUAUCUACCUGGGAAAAGAGAAGACAUGUGGACGUACCCACACGGAUCCUGGCACACCACCGUUGGCGCUGGCAUUAUUACUACUGCCCACGAUGAAGGCGGGUUUGGACCACCAGACAGCAUUGCUGAUGGGUCCCUGUGUCCUCUGCGGAAUCACAGAUACUCUGAUGGUCUCAUAAGAAACAAGCUGAAAAAUGGGCCUUCCUUGAGGAAGCCGGCAGCAUAGAAUAAAAUGAAACCGCUGAUGCUUUAGACUUUACUUUCACCACCUCCUGGGGGGCGGGGGGAAGGACUGGAGGCCCCUGUGUGUGGGACAGCAGGAGUGACAUCAGGGAGAGUGAGAGACACAGGUGAUAAGUGGGCACGAUGGCAGCAACACGGCCAGCUCAGGAAUGCCUGAACUUCCCUGCCUCCAUCUGGGGAUGCCUCCCCUGUUGAAAGCACCCAUCCAUUCUUGUAUCUAUUUGCAACACGGUUCUGUUUGGCGUGCUAAGUUCUGGAUGGGUUUCUGAAGAGCCACUGCCACUGCACUUCUAAGGUAGUCUUCAUAUGAUUGUUCUCUUUUUCCCACCUUGCCUUGCAGUGGCUUUGCUCUAUUCAGAGCACCUCUUGCUCGGAAAUCCCAUAGUAAAACAGAUAUGGGGUCUGUUGCAGUUGAAAUUGGGGUCAGCUUAUGGAGCCUGUCCAUUCAGCGCCCCCCUGGCCCUGUCCUGUCCUCCCAUCCUAGGUAGGCUUGCGGGGGUUCUGGAGCACCCCUUUAGUUUAGGGACUGAAGAUUCAAGACCUCACGUGGCUAUUGCCAAUGUGCAACCCUGUUUUACCAGAGGAUGAAAUAAUAACCAUUUGCACCAACAUGCUCAAAACCCAGGA
rnacentral:lncRNA from 1 species